GAUGAACGCUGGCUACAGGCUUAACACAUGCAAGUCGAGGGGCAGCAUGGUCUUAGCUUGCUAAGGCCGAUGGCGACCGGCGCACGGGUGAGUAACACGUAUCCAACCUGCCGUCUACUCUUGGACAGCCUUCUGAAAGGAAGAUUAAUACAAGAUGGCAUCAUGAGUCCGCAUGUUCACAUGAUUAAAGGUAUUCCGGUAGACGAUGGGGAUGCGUUCCAUUAGAUAGUAGGCGGGGUAACGGCCCACCUAGUCUUCGAUGGAUAGGGGUUCUGAGAGGAAGGUCCCCCACAUUGGAACUGAGACACGGUCCAAACUCCUACGGGAGGCAGCAGUGAGGAAUAUUGGUCAAUGGGCGCAGGCCUGAACCAGCCAAGUAGCGUGAAGGAGGACUGCCCUAUGGGUUGUAAACUUCUUUUAUAAAGGAAUAAAGUCGGGUAUGUAUACCCGUUUGCAUGUACUUUAUGAAUAAGGAUCGGCUAACUCCGUG
rnacentral:rRNA from 1 species